GUGCGAGGCAGUGAACCCAAAACCAUCUUGACCCUGGCUCAACAUUCACAAUGGUGAAUAGCUCCAAUGACUCGGCAGGAAUUCGCUGACGCUUUAUAUCUUGACCAAAAUAAUUAAGAGGCACCACGAGGAAAAGUCCUAGAGUAGUUGCAAUGGAGAAUAUUCGAACACUGAAAACAAUCAUCCGCACCAACACGAACGCAUCCAAGCCCCCAGCAGCAACUAUUUCAUCAUCGGAUGCUUCCCAUGCCUUCAAGAUCCAACUAGGAGACGGAACAAAUCGCUCAAAGUUAAAGCCACCAAGCUGUCUUGUUCGUACCCGAGCAAAUCUCUGGCUGAAGUAGACAUUUACAAAAGUUGGUUGUUUCCUAAGUAAGGAAUACAGAAUUAACAGCACCACACAGACUGCAAUAUUAACUCCGGCAGAAGUCAAGAGUGCAGAUAGCUUCAUUCCCG
rnacentral:misc_RNA from 1 species